rnacentral:rRNA from 1 species
CUGUAAGCCUGCGAAGGUGGCCUGUGAGGGUUGCUGGAGGUAUCAGAAGUGCGAAUGCUGACAUAAGUAACGAUAAAGCGGGUGAAAAGCCCGCUCGCCGGAAGACCAAGGGUUCCUGUCCAACGUUAAUCGGGGCAGGGUGAGUCGACCCCUAAGGCGAGGCCGAAAGGCGUAGUCGAUGGGAAACGGGUUAAUAUUCCCGUACUUGGUGUUACUGCGAAGGGGGGACGGAGAAGGCUAUGUUGGCCGGGCGACGGUUGUCCCGGUUUAAGCGUGUAGGUGUGUGUUCCAGGUAAAUCCGGUUCACUUUAACACUGAGGCGUGAUGACGAGGCACUACGGUGCUGAAGCAACAAAUGCCCUGCUUCCAGGAAAAGCCUCUAAGCAUCAGGUAACAUCAAAUCGUACCCCAAACCGACACAGGUGGUCAGGUAGAGAAUACCAAGGCGCUUGAGAGAACUCGGGUGAAGGAACUAGGCAAAAUGGUGCCGUAACUUCGGGAGAAGGCACGCUGACACGUAGGUGAAGUGAUUUACUCAUGGAGCUGAAGUCAGUCGAAGAUACCAGCUGGCUGCAACUGUUUAUUAAAAACACAGCACUGUGCAAACACGAAAGUGGACGUAUACGGUGUGACGCCUGCCCGGUGCCGGAAGGUUAAUUGAUGGGGUCAGCGCAAGCGAAGCUCCUGAUCGAAGCCCCGGUAAACGGCGGCCGUAACUAUAACGGUCCUAAGGUAGCGAAAUUCCUUGUCGGGUAAGUUCCGACCUGCACGAAUGGCGUAAUGAUGGCCAGGCUGUCUCCACCCGAGACUCAGUGAAAUUGAACUCGCUGUGAAGAUGCAGUGUACCCGCGGCAAGACGGAAAGACCCCGUGAACCUUUACUAUAGCUUGACACUGAACAUUGAGCCUUGAUGUGUAGGAUAGGUGGGAGGCUUUGAAGUGUGGACGCCAGUCUGCAUGGAGCCGACCUUGAAAUACCACCCUUUAAUGUUUGAUGUUCUAACGUGGACCCGUGAUCCGGGUUGCGGACAGUGUCUGGUGGGUAGUUUGACUGGGGCGGUCUCCUCCUAAAGAGUAACGGAGGAGCACGAAGGUUGGCUAAUCCUGGUCGGACAUCAGGAGGUUAGUGCAAUGGCAUAAGCCAGCUUGACUGCGAGCGUGACGGCGCGAGCAGGUGCGAAAGCAGGUCAUAGUGAUCCGGUGGUUCUGAAUGGAAGGGCCAUCGCUCAACGGAUAAAAGGUACUCCGGGGAUAACAGGCUGAUACCGCCCAAGAGUUCAUAUCGACGGCGGUGUUUGGCACCUCGAUGUCGGCUCAUCACAUCCUGGGGCUGAAGUAGGUCCCAAGGGUAUGGCUGUUCGCCAUUUAAAGUGGUACGCGAGCUGGGUUUAGAACGUCGUGAGACAGUUCGGUCCCUAUCUGCCGUGGGCGCUGGAGAACUGAGGGGGGCUGCUCCUAGUACGAGAGGACCGGAGUGGACGCAUCACUGGUGUUCGGGUUGUCAUGCCAAUGGCACUGCCCGGUAGCUAAAUGCGGAAGAGAUAAGUGCUGAAAGCAUCUAAGCACGAAACUUGCCCCGA